GAUGAACGCUGGCGGCGUGCCUAAUACAUGCAAGUCGAGCGAACAGACGAGGAGCUUGCUCCUCUGACGUUAGCGGCGGACGUGUGAGUAACACGUGGAUAACCUACCUAUAAGACUGGGAUAACUUCGGGAAACCGGAGCUAAUACCGGAUAAUAUAUUGAACCGCAUGGUUCAAUAGUGAAAGACGGUUUUGCUGUCACUUCUAGAUGGAUCCGCGCCGCAUUAGCUAGUUGGUACGGUAACGGCUUACCAAGGCAACGAUGCGUAGCCGACCUGAGAGGGUGAUCGGCCACACUGGAACUGAGACACGGUCAAGACUCCUACGGGAGGCAGCAGUAGGGAAUCUGACGCAAUGGGCGAAAGCCUGACGGAGCAACGCCGCGUGAGUGAUGAAGGUCUUCGGAUCGUAAAACUCUGUUAUUAGGGAAGAACAAAUGUGUAAGUAACUAUGCACGUCUUGACGGUACCUAAUCAGAAAGCAACGGCUAACUACGUG
rnacentral:rRNA from 1 species